AUUGAACGCUGGCGGCAUGCUUUACACAUGCAAGUCGAACGGUAACAGGUUAAGCUGACGAGUGGCGAACGGGUGAGUAAUGCAUCGGAACGUGCCCGAUCGUGGGGGAUAACGCAGCGAAAGCUGCGCUAAUACCGCAUACGAUCUACGGAUGAAAGCGGGGGAUCGCAAGACCUCGCGCGAUUGGAGCGGCCGAUAUCAGAUUAGCUAGUUGGUGAGGUAAAGGCUCGCCAAGGCGACGAUCUGUAGCUGGUCUGAGAGGACGACCAGCCACACUGGAACUGAGACACGUGCCAGACUGCUACGGGAGGCAGCAGUGGGGAAUUUUGGACAAUGGGCGCAAGCCUGAUCCAGCAAUGCCGCGUGCAGGAUGAAGGCCUUCGGGUUGUAAACUGCUUUUGUACGGAACGAAACGGCGAGCUCUAAUACAGUUUGCUAAUGACGGUACCGUAAGAAUAAGCACCGGCUAACUACGUGCCAGCCGCCGCUGUAACAC
rnacentral:rRNA from 1 species